rnacentral:rRNA from 1 species
CCCUUAGAUGUUCUGGGCCGCACGCGCGCUACACUGAUGCAUUCAACGAGUCUAAAACCUGCUCUGAUAUGGGUGGGUAAUCUUUUGAAUGUGCAUCGUGAUUGGGAUAGAUGAUUGAAAUUUUUCAUCUUCAACGAGGAAUGCCUAGUAAACGCAAGUCAUCAGCUUGCAUUGAUUACGUCCCUGCCCUUUGUACACACCGCCCGUCGCUCCUACCGAUUGAAUGAUCCGAUGAAUAUCAUGGAUUGAGGAUGCAAGUAGGUUCACCUAUCUUCAUCUUCGAGAAGUGAAGUAAAUCUUAUCAUUUAGAGGAAGGAGAAGUCGUAACA